rnacentral:rRNA from 1 species
GUAAGGAAUAUUGGUCAAUGGGCGAAAGCCUGAACCAGCCAUCCAGCGUGCAGGAAGAAGGCCCUAUGGGUUGUAAACUGCUUUUAUCAGGGAAGAAACCUCUGGAUUCACUCCGGAGCUGACGGUACCUGAAGAAUAAGCACCGGCUAACUCCGUGCCAGCAGCCGCGGUAAUACGGAGGGUGCGAGCGUUAUCCGGAAUUACUGGGUUUAAAGGGUGCGUAGGCGGCUUUGUAAGUCAGGAGUGAAAGUUUGCGGCUCAACCGUAAAAUUGCUUCUGAUACUGCAUAGCUAGAAUUAGGAUGAGGUCAGCGGAAUGUGGCAUGUAGCGGUGAAAUGCAUAGAUAUGCCAUAGAACACCAAUUGCGAAGGCAGCUGGCUAGACCUGGAUUGACGCUGAGGCACGAAAGCGUGGGGAGCGAACAGGAUUAGAAACCCCAGUAGUCC